rnacentral:rRNA from 1 species
GCCUGGUUUAUCAGAAUAUAAUAAUAAUUGGUUUCGUUUACAUUGAAGUUUGUCUUGUGAAAAUCAAGAUGUUCUGAAUAUAAUUAUUUAGUGUUUUUCUUAUGUUUAUUUACAGUUUUAUUUUAAAUAUAUUUUAUGUGAUUUGUUUUAGUAAAGAGAUUUGAAUGGAUAGGUUUAGUUAUAGUUAAUUUUUAAUGUAAAUGUUUAUUUAUUAUAUAGUUUAAGAAUUCUUUGAUUGGAGUACCUUUUGUAUCAGGGUUUAUUAAAUAAUGUUUCAUUAUAGAUUAUUCUCGAAUUAAAAAGAGUUAUUUUAUUAUGGGAUUUAAUGUGACAUAAUUAUUCUUAAUUUUAAAAUGGUGGAGAUAUUCUAUGCGAUUUUUAAUAUAUCUAGUUUCUUAAGAUAAAAUUAAAUUUUACUGGGAUUUUCAAUUUGGGGUUUAAGUUCUUUUUUUUGUUAAUUUUGUUUUAUUUUUUAGGGGUUAAGCUCUAGAAAUUAUUAUAAUUGGGUAUUAAUCACUGUGUUAUAGGCUUGUAAUCAGCUAUUAUUGAUAAGUUCGUUAUAGUUUAAUUGUUUGAUUUAUUAUUUUUUUUUAUUUAAUUAAUUUAUUAGGAUAUUGUCUUUAAUUUUGUUUGUUAAUUAAUAAUGAUUGAAUUAGUAUAUUUUAUUGUAGGCAUUUAAGGUUUUGGUAGAUUAUUUUAAGGAACUCGGCAAUAUAGGUAUUUCCGCCUGUUUAUCAAAAACAUCUCCUUUAGUUAUUUAUUUAAGGUAGGGCCUGCUCACUGAAUUGAUUGAAGAGCCGCGGUAUAUUGACCGUGCAAAGGUAGCAUAAUCAUUAGUGCAUUAAUUGUGUACUGGUAUGAAGGGUUUGAUCGAGAAAUACACUGUCUCUGUUUAAAAUGUAGAAUUUUACUUUUUAGUUAAAAGGCUGCGAUUAAUUUUUUGGACGAUAAGACCCUAUAGAGUUUAACUUAUUUAUUGUGAUGGUUUGGGUUAAUUUAUUUUAUUAAUUAGAUAUUAAGUUUUGUUGGGGUGAUGUGAGUAAUAAUUAAACUAUUCAUUUAUUAAUUUCAUUGAUUUAUGUAGUUAUUGAUCCUUUAUUAAUGAUUGUAAGAUAAAAUUACCUUAGGGAUAACAGCGCAAUUAUUUUUGAGAGUUCAUAUUGACAAGAUAGAUUGUGACCUCGAUGUUGGAUUAAGAUUAAUAAUUAGGUGCAGCAGCUUAA